UACGUAGGGGGCAAGCGUUGUCCGGAUUUAUUGGGCGUAAAGAGCGUGUAGGCGGUUUGGUAGGUCCGCUGUGAAAACUCGAGGCUCAACCUCGAGACGCCGGUGGAAACCAUCAGACUAGAGUCCGGAAGAGGAGAGUGGAAUUCCUGGUGUAGCGGUGAAAUGCGCAGAUAUCAGGAGGAACACCGGUGGCGAAGGCGGUUCUCUGGGACGGUACUGACGCUGGAGACGCGAAAGCGUGGGGAGCGAACAGG
rnacentral:rRNA from 1 species